ACCUGGAUAGUUUAAUUUAAAAUACUGAUUUGUGGUGUCAGUAAUGAGGUUUACUACCUCUUUAGGUU
rnacentral:tRNA from 1 species